GAUGAACGCUAGCUAUAGGCUUAACACAUGCAAGUCGAGGGACCGGCGCACGGGUGAGUAACGCGUAACCAACCUACCCAUAACUAAGGGAUAACUCAGCGAAAGAUGGACUAAUACCUAAUGGUUAUGGAUGGGGAUGCGUCUGAUUAGCUUGUUGGCGGGGUAACGGCCCACCAAGGCAACGAUCAGUAGGGGUUCUGAGAGGAAGGUCCCCCACAUUGGAACUGUGGCACGGUCCAAACUCGUACGGGAGGCAGCAGUGAGUAAUAUUAGUCAAUGGACGCAAGUCUGACCCAGCCAAGUAGCGUGCAGGAUGACGGCCUAUGGGUUGUAAACUGCUUUUAUAUGGGGAUAGGUACCAUAUGAAUAAGGACCGGCUAAUUCCGUGCCAGCAGCCGCGGUAAUAC
rnacentral:rRNA from 1 species